rnacentral:rRNA from 1 species
AAAAUUCCUAUCGACGGAUGUCUGGGUUCUCGCAACGAUGAAGAACGCAGCAAGGCGCGAUAUGCCAUGCGAGUCGCCACGGAUCAUGGAUGUUUGAAUGCAACCGGCGUUUCCUCUACCCAGGAAACAUGUUUGUCUCAGUGCUGACUACUAACUCCACAUCAUAAUGCUGGGGAACUUCCCCGGUCAAGAUUGGCACACCCGGGCCGAACUAAAUUGCUCGACUGCCCGCGAUUGUGCGACCCAAAUUCUUUCACGGCCUGAGUCAAGCAGGACUACCCGCUGAACUUAAGCGUAUCAGUAAGCGGAGGAAAAGAAACUAACUAAGAUUGCCUCAGUAUCGGCGAGUGAAGAGGCAAGAGCCCAAGGGCAAAUCGCGGAUCUCUACGGUCCGAGACGUGUCCCCUCAGCCGGCUGAUUGCAGCCGAAAGGACGGCCAAGGCUCUGAAAGGGGCCACCAGAGAGGGUUAUAGUCCCGUCGCCGUCCCUACGGCUAAGCCAGACGCCAGGCCAGAGUAGAGCUGUCUGGUAACGCAGCUUGAACAGGAGGUAUCUAUCUUCUAAGGCUAAAUACGUGCGAGAAACCGAUAGCAAACUAGUACUGCGAAGGAAAGACCAACACUCUGAAAAGAGAGUUAACCAUGAAAUCGAUAGGGAGGAAGCGGUGCUCUGGCCGAAUGCGUCCUCGCCCAAAGGCCCGCCAGCGCAGGCGCCCCGCGGAACUCCAAGGGCACGCGUUCGACGCUGUCGGUCCCUUUUCGGCAAAGACUGUAGCGGGAUGAAAUGGCGCCGGGAGAGAAGCCUGUCUGGUGAUAGAUAAUAUUAUCGCAGACAGUGUGCCUCCUGGGGCCGUUUGAGGGGCUGCGGCGAUCCCGCGAAUCGGAGGAGCACCGUCCCGUCUGGAAACACGGACCAAGGAGUCUAGCAUAUGUGCAAGUGAAACAGUGGCAAACUGUGUCGCGAAAUUAACGUGAAAGGUGCCAGACGCAAGUUGCAGCACCGGCCGACCUGCCCUUGCGGCAGGCGUGAGCACGAGCACAUCUGCUAGGACCAGAUAGUUGGUGAACUAUGCCUGGACAGGGUGAAGUCUCCUCAACGGGAGAUGGAGGCUCGUAGCGAUACUGACGUGCAAAUCGUUCGUCGGAUCUGGGCAUAGGGGCGAAAGACCAAUCGAACCAACUAGUAGCUGGUUCCCUCCGAAAUUUCCUUCAGGAAAGCGGGGACCAUUUCAGUUCUGUGAUGUAGCGUCGUCUUCUAGGUUUUGCGCGUCUUCGGAUACGCUGCCUUCUAAGCAAGCGAAGUCGCAGGCUGUGUAGUUCGCUUAGGUGAACUCACAGGGAAAUGCGGGUCCUUAGUUGGCCACCGUGGUAAGCACGGACGGCGAUGAGGGAUGAACCUAACGUCUGGUUAAGGCGCCUAAGUGAUCGCCAAUAGAUCCCAAGAAGGUGUGGAUUGGCCUAGACAGCAGGUAGGUGGCCUUAGUAGUCGGCAUCCUCUAAGGAGUGUGUGACAACUCUCCUGAUUAGCUAAUCCGCCCUGAAAAUUGAUGGCGCUUAAGCGAUCCGCCGAUACCAGACCGUCCACGCAAACAUAGGCGUGGCCGUGUAGGAGGGCGUGGCCGUCGCGGCGAUGUUCUCACGUGAGUGGGGGCGGAACGGCGGCUAGUGCAGAUCUUGGUGGUAGUAGCAAUUAUUCGGAUGCGAACUCCGAAGGCCGAAGUGGAGAUGGUUUCCGCAACACUGACAAUCAGUUGUGGGUCACUCGGUCCUAAGGCCAGUGGUAACUCUGAUCACCGCCGCUCUGGUGCGGCGCUGGCCGAAAGGGAAUGAGGUUAAUAUUCCUCAAGCGUUCCUCGAUAUUGCUGGUAACAUCUCGUCCUUUCAAGACGCCAACGCGUGCCGCUGGAAGAGCUUUCGUCUCUUUUUAACAGCCACCGGACCUGGGAACGGAUUGCCCGUAGAGCAGGUUCGUCGACUGGAAUAGCAUCCUCCUGCUUCUGGAUGCAGCUGUGCACGGGGUGGCCCCUGAAAAUUGGAAGGACCGCAGUCGCGGAACGGCCGUACCUAAUCCGCAGCAGGUCUCCUAGGUGAGUAGCCUCUGGCCGAUAGAAUAAAGUAGGUAAGGGAAAUCGGCAAAAUAGACCCGUAACUUCGGGAUAAGGAUUGGCUUCGACGAUUGGGUGCGGCUCGCUGCGCCAAACACAAUCGCUAAGGAGCUGGAGCGACCAGGGGAACCCGACUGUUUAAUAAAAACACAGCAUUGUGAAGGCCAGAAAUGGUGUUGACACAAUGUGAUUUCUGCCCAGUGCUUGUAUGUGACCGUGGUGAAAGCCGCUUAAGCACAGGUUAACGGCGGGAGCAUUAUUGCGCCCUUAAAGUACCGAAGCUGCCAUUUAAAUGAUGGUGGCCUGAACGGAUUAACGAGGUUCCCACUGUCCCUAUCUACUAUCUAGCGAAACCACAACCAAGGGCAAGGGCUUGGCGGAAUCAGCGGGGAUAUACGAUCCUGUUGAGCUUGACUUUAGCCUGAUUCUGGAACUUCCCAGUCCGCGACGUAGCGAGGCGGGAGCCCAUGGCUACCCUGUGAAAGACCGCCUCGCGGAUAAGGGAGUCCUCACUCCGUCACCGAGUCAGCGUAUGUUGCGUCCGUAAGGGACUCCGCGGAGGACACAGUCAGGUGGGGAGUUUGGUCGGGGCGGCACAUCUGCGAAAACUAAGCAGUUGUCCUAAGGUGGGCUCACGGUGGACAGACCCUCCGGUUGACUAAAAGGGGAAAAGCCCGCUUAACUUCCACUUCCAGUAAGAGUGGGAGUUGCUAACGCAUGGCCUAACGAUAGUUAAUGUUUCCAAAGAUGAAACUUAACCUGACAGAAAAGUUACCACAGGAAAAUUGGUCUAUGGCAGGCACUAUCUCCAAAGGUUCCUGCCGCUUGAUACAUGAUAACGGCUCUUCCUAGCGUAGAGGCCAAGAGAAUCUCUAAGCGUAGGAUUGUUCACCCUUCAAAAGGGAACGUGGCCGGGUUUAGACCGUCGUGAGACAGGUCAGUUUUAACCUGCUGAUGAUCGCGUCGCAACAGUAGGACUUAUUAUUCCCAAAACAACAUGAGGCCCGGAUCUAUGGCUGCGCGGUCGGCUGACAAGCCGGUGCCGCACCGCUACAUCCGUGAGUUAAAGGCUGAACGCCUCUAAGCCUGAAACUUUGCUGGAAACGACGCAAAUUUUAAGCUUUCCGAGACGCUAAAUGCCAGAUGAAAGUCCGGCACAUCUCCCCGCAAAUGCCAACGCGGCCGGGAAAAAAGCCGCGGCGGUUUGCGCACUUAUUGUACAAAAGCUUAAAAGAAGAUCGUUCGUAGACGACCUAAACGGGACGGGGUGUUGUACGUCCAAAUAACAGAUGGGCUAAGACUUCCCUCUUCCCGCGAUCUUCCUGCCCGGC